rnacentral:rRNA from 1 species
GUGGGUAGUUUGACUGGGGCGGUCUCCUCCCAAAGAGUAACGGAGGAGCACGAAGGUUAGCUAAUCCUGGUCGGACAUCAGGAGGUUAGUGCAAUGGCAUAAGCUAGCUUGACUGCGAGCGUGACGGCGCGAGCAGGUGCGAAAGCAGGUCAUAGUGAUCCGGUGGUUCUGAAUGGAAGGGCCAUCGCUCAACGGAUAAAAGGUACUCCGGGGAUAACAGGCUGAUACCGCCCAAGAGUUCAUAUCGACGGCGGUGUUUGGCACCUCGAUGUCGGCUCAUCACAUCCUGGGGCUGAAGUAGGUCCCAAGGGUAUGGCUGUUCGCCAUUUAAAGUGGUACGCGAGCUGGGUUUAGAACGUCGUGAGACAGUUCGGUCCCUAUCUGCCGUGGGCGCUGGAGAAUUGAGGGGGGCUGCUCCUAGUACGAGAGGACCGGAGUGGACGCAUCACUGGUGUUCGGGUUGUCAUGCCAAUGGCAUUGCCCGGUAGCUAAAUGCGGAAGAGAUAAGUGCUGAAAGCAUCUAAGCACGAAACUUGCCCCGAGAUGAGUUCUCCCUGAGACUUUAAGUCUCCUGAAGGAACGUUAAAG